GACUGGUGAGUAACGCGUGAGGAACCUGCCUUUCAGAGGGGGACAACAGUUGGAAACGACUGCUAAUACCGCAUGACGCAUUUUGAUCGCAUGGUCGAAAUGCCAAAGAUUUAUCGCUGAAAGAUGGCCUCGCGUCUGAUUAGCUAGUUGGUGAGGUAACGGCCCACCAAGGCGACGAUCAGUAGCCGGACUGAGAGGUUGACCGGCCACAUUGGGACUGAGAUACGGCCCAGACUCCUACGGGAGGCAGCAGUGGGGAAUAUUGGGCAAUGGGCGCAAGCCUGACCCAGCAACGCCGCGUGAAGGAAGAAGGCUUUCGGGUUGUAAACUUCUUUUAAGUGGGAAGAGCAGAAGACGGUACCACUUGAAUAAGCCACGGCUAACUACGUGCCAGCAGCCGCGGUAAUACGUAGGUGGCAAGCGUUGUCCGGAUUUACUGGGUGUAAAGGGCGUGCAGCCGGGCAUGCAAGUCAGAUGUGAAAUCUCAGGGCUUAACCCUGAAACUGC
rnacentral:rRNA from 1 species